rnacentral:rRNA from 1 species
UACGGAGGGUGCAAGCGUUAUCCGGAUUUACUGGGUUUAAAGGGUGUGUAGGCGGACAUUUAAGUCAGGGGUGAAAUCCCGAGGCUCAACCUCGGAACUGUCUUUGAUACUACUUGUCUUGAAUGUUGUUGAGGUGGGCGGAACGGGUCAUGUAGCGGUGAAAUGCAUAGAUAUGACCCGGAACACCGAUUGCGAAGGCAGCCCGCUAAGCAACUAUUGACGCUGAGGCACGAAAGCGUGGGGAUCAAACAGG